GUUGACACAGUAUUCCAGUGUGUAGAGUUAUCUUUAAAUAAAUUGAUGGUUGCAGGGUCUUAGUCCACCCGUACGAGGAUGGACUGGGUUCAAGGAAAGGUAAGUGCACCGCUCGCCCAUUUCCCAGCCUAGAGAACCCGGAGAUAAGCAGACGCAGCGGGGAGCCAAGUCAAGCAGGGACUUUAUUUUGCACGUAACAGAGCCUUUUAAAGCACAAAACUGCAGAGUCAUUGGGGCAGGGCAAAAGAAAACCGUCAUUUUACGGGGCAAUUUUUAUAGGACUAGCCAUAUGUCUAUAUACUCGUCAUCAGUUGUCGUCACUUCCCCUGAUGUUGCGUGGCCAAUUAGCUUUGAUGGUAAACAACAUUGGAUUCCGCCCACCUUACUUCCUCUGGGCGCCAUCUUUGAAUUGUCUCGUGUGCCUAAUUUCCCCAGGAUGGUCACUAUUCAUUUGGUUUCCUGAGAGAAUUUGGCUGUUCUGGGCGCCUACCUAGUAUUGUGCCAAGAUGAGUGACUUUACUGUAGGAAAGGGUAAUGAGAAAAGCUUUUAGUAGUGACACCAGGAUAGAAAACCACAUUGGAAACAAAGAAGAUUCAAAUGUAUGGAUUGCUUUCUUCACAAAUGUUUACUGAAUAUUAGAGCUGCAUGGACACUGGAUAGUGCUAGCAAGGUAACAGGACCCUUUCUCAGGAUACUGGACAGAGGGCACUCCCAGGCAUCCAGGUGAUCACCAAGGGUAAACAAUGUUUACAGGGUGCUAUAUUGGCACCUGUGAGUGUUCAGAGUCCAUCAUUCACUUAGAGCAGACUGGACCCAACUGAAGCAGCUUCAGCUUCCCGGAGCAGCAGGGGCCCUCAGAUGAGAUCACAGACUCUCCAAUGCCAGCAUACAGCAUGUGGACCAGCCUCAGAACUCAGGGACAGAUCCAGGAGAAAGCAGGCCAGCAACUCAGGGAUUUGAAGUGGUGCACAGCCCCACAGGGCAGGAGGAAAUCCAGUGUACUCCACAACCAAAUUACAAGGUUGCCAGAACAAGAAAAAUUGCAUUGCUUCCAGGCCCUGAGCCAACCUUAUUCAGGACUCAGGAUGGAGAAAAACCAAAGACCAGACUGGGUAAAUUCUCAGUGUAAACUGCGAUAGGAGGAUGCUACAGGAAAGCCUGGAGAGAAGAUGCACCCACCCUCCAUCUCUGCAUAUUGUUACUCCAUGCUUGGCAAUGCACCCCAAGUUAAUAAUGCACUUUCAGGAUUCCUUGAACUCAGCUAUUUAGGUUAUCUUUGUAAAGUCUAUAUAAAUUUCUUAAAUAUUGCCAAACAUAGUGGGUUUUUUUUUUCAAAUAAAAAAUUAUAAAUUAGACAAUGGAGCCACUGGAUGACUGAACUCACAAAGUUUGAAAAUUAACAGAUGGUUCCACAAUAGCACUUUCUUCUUUUUUAUAUUUUGGCAAAGAUACAUUUCUCCUGUUGAAAUCAUCCAAAAAAUCCAGUUUGCUAAAAUGAAUAAACCAGAGGGAUUUAGGUGAAAUGUUCAAGGAGCUUUGCCAGCUAGAGCUACCCUGCUGCCCUUAAAGUUUUCUCUUACCCUGAACAAUUCCUAUGACACCUCAGUACCUUGAUGGCUUUUAUCUAGCUUCAUGUACAACCUUUGAAGAUAAAAUCACCUAAUUCAGGCACAGACCCCUUAGACCCCAUUGCUCAUCACUAAGAUAAGGUGUCCUUUGAAGUGAGAUAAGUUAAAGUAGGCAAUACUGGGAUUUGAGAAUAAGUAUUAUACAGAAUCUUAAAAGGCCAAAUGAAAUAAACUCUGAUUUUCUCAAUGUUUGUCUAAUAGUGAUUAAGUGCAAACCUAAACUCCAUUUGCAUUCAUGAUGGACUAAUUUUAUCAGUUUUGAAGGCUGCCUGCAUGUGGCUCUCCUUCUAAACUUCCAAAGAGAUAAAAUUGUAUGUCAACAAUAUCAGGCAUCACAAUUAAAAGACCAUUGUUUCUUCUUACACUUAAACUCUGUGCUGUGCUUCAACCUCGUUUGAUGUUAUGAGGCACUCUGAACACCUGCAAUCUUCCAACAGUUUUCUAUGCCAGGGGCAUAU